rnacentral:rRNA from 1 species
GUAGGUGGCAAGCGUUGUCCGGAAUUAUUGGGCGUAAAGCGCGCGCAGGCGGUUCUUUAAGUCUGAUGUGAAAGCCCACGGCUCGACCGUGGAGGGUCAUUGGAAACUGGAGAACUUGAGUACAGAAGAGGAAAGCGGAAUUCCACGUGUAGCGGUGAAAUGCGUAGAGAUGUGGAGGAACACCAGUGGCGAAGGCGGCUUUCUGGUCUGUAACUGACGCUGAGGCGCGAAAGCGUGGGGGAGCAAACAGGAUUAGAUACCCUGGUAGUCCACGCCGUAAACGAUGAGUGCUAAGUGUUAGGGGGUUUCCGCCCCUUAGUGCUGCAGCUAACGCAUUAAGCACUCCCGCCUGGGAGUACGGCCGCAAGGCUG